UUACAGUCUUACCAUUGCUUGUAAACUGGAUUGGGUAAGAUGGAUCAUCUUUAAAGGCACCAGGCAAGUACAUGAUGUACAGUUACAAGUCAUGUAUUUUUUCGACUGCAAUAUUAAAUGCUUUCACGUCACAUGCAAAAUUACACAGGAAUGUGGCUGACUUUUUAUUUGUAGUUUACCUGAGUGUCAUUGCACUUUUCAGGAGUUAAGGCAGAUGUGGAGGCACAACGGGUGAUACCAGACACACACCAAGCACAUUAUGUUCGGACAUUCAAUCAUGACAGGAUCCAGGUGGAUGCUGUCCAUUGAGGAAAGAGUUUGUUCAGCGGUUUCUGGAUAGAAUUAAUUCCAAAGAUGGGAAAAAGUGCACAUCCAGACAAGGAGCAAGCAAAAAGACAAGGAACUUGGUGCAGAGAAAAGCUGUGGCCAUUAACCCCCAUGUGAACAGCUUCAUGCAGUCCCUGAUUGAGUUCGAAUGGACGACUUCAAAGUAAAGGCCACUGUGGUCUGUCUGCCACAGUUUAAUUUUUAAUUUAUUUUUAGUGUUCAAUGAAAUUCAAGUAGAAUAUUUAAAACUAUGGGCCAGUGUUGUUUUUACCACAGUGAAAUGUUACCUUUUAGUCGAUGAUGGACUUUAAACUGAAAACUUCAAACUAUGGAACGGUGUUCUAUUUG